rnacentral:snoRNA from 1 species
GUGAGGAGGAUGAACCCCACUGAUUAGUGAAGAGGUCGUUGCUCGCCGA